rnacentral:rRNA from 1 species
GUGGGGAAUAUUCCGCAAUGGACGAAAGUCUGACGGAGCAACGCCGCGUGAGUGAUGAAGGUUUUCGGACUGUAAAGCUCUGUUGUUUAGGACGAAAGUGCCUGUUGCAAAUAGUUACAGGUAUUGACGGUACUGAACGAGGAAGCCACGGCUAACUACGUGCCAGCAGCCGCGGUAAUACGUAGGUGGCAAGCGUUGUCCGGAAUUAUUGGGCGUAAAGAGCAUGUAGGCGGGAAUCUAAGUCUGUUGUGAAAAUGCGGGGCUCAACCCCGUAUUGCGAUGGAAACUGGGUUUCUUGAGUGCAGGAGAGGAAAGGGGAAUUCCCAGUGUAGCGGUGAAAUGCGUAGAUAUUGGGAGGAACACCAGUGGCGAAGGCGCCUUUCUGGACUGUGCCUGACGCUGAGAUGCGAAAGCCAGGGUAGCGAACGGGAUUAGAUACCCCAGUAUCC